rnacentral:rRNA from 1 species
GACGCUUGCUGCAUGCUUUAUACAUGCAAGUCGAACGGAGGCCCUAGCUUGCUAGGUGUCCUUAGUGGCGCACGGGUGAGUAACACGUGGGAACAUACCUCAUAGUACGGAAUAACUGCGGGAAACUGUAGCUAAUACCGUAUAUUCCAGAAAUGGGAAAGAUUUAUCGCUAUGAGAUUGGCCCGCGCAAGAUUAGCUUGUUGGUGAGGUAAUGGCUCACCAAGGCUCCGAUCUUUAGCUGGUUUGAGAGGACGAUCAGCCACACUGGGACUGAGACACGGCCCAGACUCCUACGGGAGGCAGCAGUAGGGAAUAUUGGACAAUGGGGGAAACCCUGAUCCAGCAAUGCAGCGUGAGUGACGAAGGCCUUAGGGUUGUAAAACUCUUUCAUCGGUGAGGAUAAUGACAGUAGCCGAAGAAGAAGGACCGGCUAAUUCCGUGCCAGCAGCCGCGGUAAUACGGAAGGUCCUAGCGUUGUUCGGAAUUACUGGGCGUAAAGCGCAUGUAGGCGGAACAAAAAGUUAGAAGUGAAAUCCCUGGGCUCAACUUAGGAAUUGCUUUUAAAACUUUUGUUCUGGAAUUCAGGAGAGGAAAAUGGAAUUUCCAGUGUAGAGGUGAAAUUCGUAGAUAUUGGAAGGAACACCAGUGGCGAAGGCGAUUUUCUGGACUGAUAUUGACGCUGAGAUGCGAAGGCAUGGGUAGCAAACGGGAUUAGAUACCCCGGUAGUCCAUGCAGUAAACGAUGGGUGCUAGUCGUCGGACUUUUGUUCGGUGUCGUAGCUAACGCGUUAAGCACCCCGCCUGGGGAG